CAUCCGAUAAUCCCUCUUGCCCAAAAUGUAUGCCUCUAGAGCGAAAUCCACCUUAACCUUAAAAAGCUCUGUGGAUUCUCGAAAGGCCUCCAUAGCUAACUACCCCACUUUGGCAACUUAUCUUUCCAUCCUUUUUUCAACCUCGAGGAUCUCGGCCUGUGCUGCCCGACGUCUCUCCUUCUCUACAGCCAAGUCAGCCUCGACCUUCUUCUUGUCCUCCUCCCUAUCCACCUUCACCCUCUUUAGUUCAUCUCUUAGGUGUUCGGCUUUGGUCUUGAUAGCCCUUAG
rnacentral:lncRNA from 1 species